rnacentral:lncRNA from 1 species
GGGGGGGGGGGGGGGGGGGGGGGGGGGGGGGGGGGGGGGGGGGGGGGGGGCCAGUGCUCCCAGUUCCCCCAGUGCCCCCAGCGCCUCCAGCGCCCCCAGCGCCCCCAGUUCCCCCAGUGCUCCCAGCGCCCCCAGUGCCCCCAGUGUUCCCAGUGCUCCCAGUGCUCCCAGCGCCGAGUCAAUGGUUAACCCGCGCUCACCCCGCGCCUCCCCUCCUGACGAAGCAGCCCAGGCUCUCUGCUCCGCAGAGCUGGAGCGGCACAGGAGCCCCACACACCUCCCUGAGCACCUGGGCACAGCUCUGCCAACCUGUCAGUCCAGCCAUGCAAGAAGAGAGGGAGAGAGACAGAGCAAA